UACGUAGGGUGCGAGCGUUAAUCGGAAUUACUGGGCGUAAAGCGUGCGCAGGCGGUUCGUUGUGUCGGCGGUGAAAGCCCCGGGCUCAACCUGGGAAUGGCCGUUGAAACUGGCGAACUGGAGUGUGGCAGAGGGGGUGGAAUUCCGCGUGUAGCAGUGAAAUGCGUAGAGAUGCGGAGGAACACCUGAGGCGAAGGCGGGCUACUGGGCCGAUACUGACGCUGAGGCGCGAAAGCCAGGGAGCAAACGGG
rnacentral:rRNA from 1 species